rnacentral:misc_RNA from 1 species
AACGCACAUUGCGCCCGGCAGUAAUCUGCCGGGCAUGCCUGUCCGAGCGUCAUUUCUGCCCUCGAGCGCGGCUGCCUUUCGGGGCUGCCGCUGCCCGGCGUUGGGGCGCUACGGGAAGCCUCGCGCUAUCCCCCGUAGGCCCCGAAAUGAAGUGGCGGUCCUGCCGCGGCGCCCCCUGCGUAGUAUUACAGCUCGCAUCGGGACCCGGUGGAGACCAGCCGUCAAACCAUACUUUCUAAGUUUGACCUCGGAUCAGGUAGGGUUACCCGCUGAACUUAA